UAAGGUGCCACAAGUACUCCUUUUCUUUUUGUUUGGAUUAUGUUUUUCAGGGUGCAUUGCUUUGCAUUUAUCAACAUUGAAUUUCAUCUGCCAUUUUGUUGCCAAGUCAUCCAGUUUCGUGAGAUCCCUUUGGAACUCUGCACAGUCAGCUUUGGACAUAACUAUCUUGAGUAACUUUGUAUCAUCUGCAGAUUUUUGCCACCUCAUUCUUCACCCCCUUUUCCAGAUCACUUAUGAGAGGGCCAGGGGCCGGAUGAACGAAGUGAGUGAGGAGCGAGGCAGGGGAGAGAGAGAGAGAGAAGUUCAUGAAGAGCAAGUGCCAGAUGAAGGUAGUGUGCCAGGCACGGCCUGACCAGCUCUGCAGAGAAAGGAAUCAACCCCUCCCUGCUCUAGCAUGGGCUGCAUCCCUAACCCCUGGAGAUUGUCCUUGGAUUUCAGGAAGCUGCCAGCAUGUUCCUGAGAUGAGACUGUCCUGAGAAGUGCUAGUGAGAAUAGACAGAGGACCUUGGAUGAGGAGCCUCCGAGAAAGAGGAGACGGUGGCUUCAUCACAAUCAUUUCUCCUGUGUUACUCUUUACUAGUGUCAGUAUUAUUGGAGCCCACUGGCCUGAUACACAGACAACAUGCAAUGCUGUUGGAAUGUGGAAACCGCCUUCCAUGACACCUCUCCUUUGAGGGCUACCACAAGGAAGAGUCCUCAGAGAUCCCACAAAGAACCUUAUCCCUCCACUUUGGAUGAUGAGCCACCUCUAUUGCUCUCUUACACCUGUUCUCUACAUUGUGUAAGGAAGGGAUGCUGUCAACAAGUUACUGAUCUCUGCUGCAGUAUUACCAGAGACAAGUAGGAACCCAGCAUUUACUUUUAAGACCUGUGAACCGGGAUCCUGACUGAAUGUAAAAGUCCACGUGGAUGUUUCCAUGCACAGAGCUUCACAAAAACAUCUGACCCCAAUUCUAGAUGUAGAUUUUCAUAUCUGAUCAGGAUGAGGACAAGUGGGGUUUCAUUGAAAAGCAUCUAGCGAACAAAGGCACAUGGGGGUAGGGAAUUGCAAUCUGAAAUGCAAACCUGAGACCCCCUUUUUGUUAAUGGAGUAGUAGCUGUAAAGGAGGUUGAGGAGGAUUGCAGCAGGCUAGAGCUGAAGAUCUCUUGAAUAGCCCUGGAAACACCUCUGUUUGGUUUCAGUGAUGGAGACUAGAACAAAUGAGGCAAUGUAGCCUAAUGAACAGAGCACUGGACUGUGACUCAGGAGCUCUAGGUUUCUCCCCCACUUCCCAGUUCUGCCACUGACCUGCUAAGUGACCUUUUGACAAGUCACUUCACCGCCCUGUGCCUCAGUUUCCCCCUCUGUAAAAUGGGAAUUAUACCAACCUCCUUUGUAAAGCACUCUGAGAUCUACUCAUAACAAGAGCUAGUAGUAUUAUAAUUGCUAUUAAUCAGUCAAGAGAGAGGUAAGGAUAGUCAAGCAGGAUGUUAGGACCAUAUAUCCUAGAAGGUAGGUCUGUGUAUUUCAGCACAACCUGGGUAUCCCUGGAAAGUCCCACAAGGAGUCCUGAGGGUCCCAGAUUUGGGCCUUGCCUCUCCUCUAGCUAACACUUUAAUUCUCAUACACAGUUUUGCAUUCCAUAAUUCUGUUGGUAAGACAAGAGGUCCCUGACCUGUUAUUGCACAAGGCAAAUAAGAUUUAACAAGACUCAGCCAAUCAGAAGCUGAGAUGUAUCCAAUCAGCAACACACAACUCACUGGCUUGAUGCAUGGGACUUUGGGCUCCCUCUGUGCCAGAACCUCCCAAGGAAGUCAAGGAGGGAGCACUGCACAUGGAGGGAUGGCAGGAUUGUGCACAAAGAGAACAAGAGAGGUUUAACCCCAAGCAGAGAGAGGUUGGUGAUCUCAAUCACCAUUAAAGUUUAUUGACCCAAGAGAACGAUAUUUAGCCAGAAGGCCCAAUAAAUUGCACAGCUGACUGGUAACACACGUCCUGCUGUGACUUGUCACAUAAAUCCCGUUACAGAUAUUCAUUAGAAUUGAGAUUUAUUUUGUUUAAUUAGAGCAAUCAUAGCAUGAAUUGGGAUAAAGUUGCAAUGGGGAGGCCAGGGCCCAGGAAAGCAGCAAUAGUUAGCAGUGCAGAAUGCAGGCACCAGAUUUGAUGCCAAGAAGCAGUAUUCAAAGUGAACUACAAAGGAAGAGAGUGAUUUGCUUGUGUACCUUGACUGCUCCUUGUAAAGGCAACUACAAGGCUUUUCCAGUCUGCUUUUCAUUUCAGAAAUACCUGGAGUAUCAAGUCUUGGCUUUGCAGGAGGACCCUCUGGCCUGGAAGACGUAGGAGCUGGACUAAGAUAGGAAUAGCACAACACGCUGAACCCUGAACUGCAGCUCAACAGACAGGUAGAGGGGAGCCUGAAUCUUUCACCCAGAGACUUUCUCCCAGCUGUUUAUCAGGAGUUUUAGAUAAAUGAUUUAUUUUGUUUUAAACCUGUGUGACUAAAAAAAUCCCUUCUUGUCUGAGCUGAGGGAUAAAAGCUGC